AAGGAAGUAAAUUAUCUGACAGUCACUGAGGUCCAAUUAUGAUGUUACGCAACACUUUCACUAAAAUUAAUUUUUGCUCGUUUAAUUUUCAUAAAAUUUUGACAAAGUAUUUACUUUGACUCUUGGACAAAAAUAUAAAAAUUUAAAUAAAUUUGAACCAACCAUUUUAUCAGAAAAUUACACUGGUUAUAUAGCAGUUUGACA
rnacentral:lncRNA from 1 species